CCCUUAGAUGUUCUGGGCCGCACGCGCGCUACACUGACGAUGGCAACGAGUUUUUCCUUCGCCGAAAGGUGUGGGUAAUCUUUUGAAACAUCGUCGUGCUGGGGAUAGAUCAUUGCAAUUUUUGAUCUUGAACGAGGAAUUCCUAGUAAGCGCGAGUCAUCAGCUCGCGUUGAUUACGUCCCUGCCCUUUGUACACACCGCCCGUCGCUACUACCGAUUGAAUGGUUUAGUGAGGAGUCCUGAUUGGCGCCGCCGCCCCGGCAACGGAGCAGCGGACUGCCGAAAAGUUGUUCAAACUUGAUCAUUUAGAGGAAGUAAAAGUCGUAACA
rnacentral:rRNA from 1 species